CAACCUGGGACUUCACUCAUUUUGGGCUGCACACACACACACACACACACACACACACACACACACACACACACACACACCCCUCUUCUAAUAAUGCACUUGGCAGCCUAGCUCUCUCAUCUGCACAUAGUGUGUACACACACCCUUCUCUGAACAGUGCACCUAGCAACCCAUCAGCAACCGAGGACCCCAGACUGCACGGAGCUACACACACACUGUUCUCUUAGCAAUAGGAUAAGUUUUUCCUCUUCCUAAAGACCAUCAAACUUAGAUUCGAUACAAUCGUUUAUGUCUGGGAAUAGAGAGCAGGAAGGCCAAGAUGGCCUGAACUGGUUUGGGGUAUAUGCAGAAUAAGGCUAACUACGUCCUCAAAGUGAACAUUUAGAGACAAUCCUCUAUUUACCAUCUUAUUCCUAUGUGUAAUUGGUGGGUAUAUGACUGAAAAAACCAAAUGCAUUAUGUGAAGGGGCAUGCAUUGUAGAGAAACCAUUAUAAAACUUAAUCUGUCAAUAUAAUAGAGAACCACACAAACUACCUCCCCAGGAAUCAAACGUGUCUUACUGUUAGCCCCAUAAAAGGGGGUUCCUGGUAAUAACCUGGGGCCCUGUGAAUCUUUAUGCAUGUGACUGUCAAUCUUAACAGCAUAUUCCUUUCUAAGUGCUUUGAGUAAAGCAUUCCUGAUACUUUGCAACUCCAUAUAUACCUUUCUUUAUUGAAGGAGAUGCCAAGAACUUGGAAACCAGUCCAGCCCCUGACCACCAGUAACCCUGGCACUGCUGCCAAGCAUUCCAGUCUGUCUCCAGCUAUGUUGAGUUGGUACGGACACAUCCAGCCUCUGUGGCAAGGCACUGCACCCCCUAAGGGCAACAGUGAGGCCUUCUUGCUCUGUAGCAGGUAUCAGUAGCUCAGGAGGCAGCUGCUGAAUGAGAGAUUCAACCACUCCUCCAGCCUCCUUCUUCUGCACUCUCCUGGCCCUGGUCUCUGCUGAGCUGAACAUGAGCAUUCUGUAGGAGGGACCUGGGUGUCCUGCAAAUAGAAAAGUGUGCAAGCCUGUGGCACACUACCACACUUACUCCUCCAGGCUCUAAAGCCGCCUAACAGAAUCUUGAAUGGUAACACCUUCCUGGAAUCGUGAGAUCCAUGCAGGAGGUGGAGGUGACAAAGUUGCUCUCUGAGGAGCCCACGGAAACGACUCUUUAGCCGACCACUCAGCUCCUUGGUCCUUGCAAUCUGCCAGGAAAAUCUGCCAAGAAACCGCGUCCACAGGACUGAGGCCGGACAGGCCUAGGGAGGGUCUCCAGAUGAAGCAGAACUGUGUGCAAAGCUCUGCAGCCCUUGUGGGCACUGACUCAGCACAGACUCUGGACCUGGUCCAGCCUAGUGGACACUAUGCUGAGGCCAUUGCAGCUCUGCUCUCUCCAGGCCUCCUUCCCUCCCUCUGGCAGGUGAAUGUACCAUAAACUUGUACUCAGAAAGCCUCUUCAAAGCCUAAAGGGGGGGCCUCCAUGCUUCCAACCCAAGCAGAACGGCAUGCUCAGUUGUCUUACCAUUCUGGUGGCACACUAGUUGUGCUUCAUUCUGAAGCCACUCUUGGGGGGUUAUUGGCAGACAGCUACCACCACGUAGGAGGAAGCAAAUACCCACCUGAUGCAAGGACCUUUCGUGGAGAUGGAUAUGCUGAGAGCAUCCUCAGAAGACACUGGGCUAAGAAGUCGGGUUUCGCUCAUGUGCUAUAUUAACCAGGGCUCUCCAGAGAAACAAUACAAGCUGGAUACUGAGACACAUAGCAAGAGACUUCUUAUAGGGAUUUGGCUCACGAUUACAAAGCCUGAUGAGUCCCAAGAUCUCCAGCUGGAGACCCAGGAGAUGUAGCUGAGCAGCUCCUGUCCAAAGAACACAGGCUCAAGGUCCCAGAAGACCUGACGUUUCUGUCUGAAUCCAAAGCGAAGAAAAGAAAAAGCCCCAGCUCCAGGGCAGGCGGGAGGGAUUUCCUCCCUGUCUGGGAAGGGUCAGAUCUUUGGCCUCUUCAGCCUUCAGUCCACUAGAGGAGGCCCGUCCAUGUUACAUGAGUAUCCACUUUACUCUGGACAGUUAAAUGACGACAUUCAAAACACCCUCACAGGAAUGCCAAGAAUAUUAUUUAGCCAAACAUCUGGGCAAACUCUGGCCCAGUCAAGAUGACCAACAAAAAUUUACCUUUACGGGAUUGGACCUUUCUCAUGCCGUAUUAAAACAGCAGUGGGGUGCAGCCGAGGGCUGCCCUCCCAUUCUUCCUGGAACUCUUCCUUAAGACACCGUAGAGCAACCAUGCUUCACGGGCGCGCAUCCUCUAACUUCCAAACUAUGAGCCACUGGGCCCCACGAGCAACCUGAGGACAGGGACCCUGACUCAGCUGGGUUGCUGCAUCCAGUGCCUUCCAAAGCCUGCCACACAGAGGCCCCGAUGCAAAGGCCUCUUGAAGAAAGAGUAAAGGAGCAGAGACUCGCUGAAUGAGGUGGCCAUCUUUAAACCCACCUGGUCAUGGGAACUGAAUGUAAACAUCAAAGCAGAACUACAAAGCAUAAGCUGCAAAAACACUACAGAAGAAAGGUUGCCCUGCCCUGGAAGGCAGUCCCUACGUCCUGCAUGCCUCUCAACAACCAUGCAAUAUCUGUCCCAGUCUUCCUGACUCAGCCUUCCAAGUACUGAGAUUAUAGGGAUGAACCACCAUGCCAGACUUGUAGGGUCAUUUUUAUCCACCAAAGUCAAGAUUAUUGUGCCUGUGCCCUCCACUGUCUGGUUUUCUCCUCAGACUCCACAAGGUGCGGCCCCACCCCUUGUCUCAUCCCCUCAGAGACUCUGUCCUUAGGGAUAGCCAGACCAGGGCUGCACAGCCUAGCGACCUGACCAGCCACCACACUUCCUUCUUUUUCCAGUCUAAAAAUAAGAUCUGACCCCUUUACAGGUCACACAUUUAUUGCUGAAGUCUUCCUGUGGGCUGGGGAAUGUGAGCUGAGGCCAUGAAUCUUGCCAUGAAUAUCCUUCCCGGGAACAGCUCAGGGCACAGUGCAAUGUGUGCAAAUGACCAUGUCCUGAUGGCCCACCUCUGGACAUUCCCUGAAGGCUGAGGCUGUGAUGCCCAGGGCUUCUGUGAACAAGAGCUAAGACGUAUCUACCCUCCUUCUCUUCCUAAUGAAACUACUUCUGGAACUUCCACCCUCUUCCUUCAUCCCUAUGAAAGCAGAUCUAUUUUUGGCAGAUCCAUACACAGAGUCAGAUUCUCACACUGCAUGAAGGAAGGGGAGAGCAGAGGAAACAGUCCCGGAAAGGGGACGGUGAGGGGAGGGAUAAUCUGCCCUUGACCUGGUACAAGCUGAGCUCUGCAAGCUGCCUCGGGUAAAGCCCUGAGCACUGAGCAGAGCCUAUGGCGGGCGCUUGAGUUCCUGGGGCCACUUUACCAUCUGCUGGGGCUUGGGGUGAUUCUGUGACCCUUUCUUUUGGAAGGAAAGGCUCAUAAACAUGGCUACUAACUUGAUGUCAGAAUUGUGCCUCCCGGGAAAGGUGGGCGCAAUGCCCCUUGAGAGGUGUGAUGAGGACAAAGAGACAUCUAUUGCAUCAAUGUGCCUGCCCUGCUGGGACUGAGAUUAAAAACCGAAAACUGACUCUCAGGGCACAGCAUUGACCUAGGCUCAACAAAAGCCAGCUCUGUGCUGGGGACAGGAAGAGCAGUUUGGCGUGGCUAGCUGUACCUAUCAUGGAAGACUACUGGGCACAAGUUGUCUGACUAUGACAGUAGGAAGCUAGCUAUAUUGGUUACUUUUCUCAAUGUGACCACAAAACACCUAACAAAGGCAAUUCCAGGAUGGCAGCGUUUAUUUUGGCCCACAGCUUGAGAGUACAGUCCGCCAUGGCACGGAAGGCAUGGGGGCAGGAGCGUGAAGCAGCUGGUCACAUUGCACAUCGGGAAGCAGGGAGGUGAACACUGGUACUGAGCUCCCUUCCUCCAGCGUAUUCAGUCUAGGACUCCUGCCCCUGAGGUGACGCCAUCUGCCGUUAAGGUAGAUCUUCACCCCACAAUUAUUGCCAGAAAUUCCCACACAGACAUGCCUGAAGUUUUGUCCCCAGGUGAUUCCAGAUCCCAUCAAGUUGUCCAUCAAUAUCAACUGUCACAAAGACCAUGAGUGUUUAUGGUGUGGGUGGACCCUUCAUAGCUGGUCACCAAACACAGGAGAAUCUUACCUCUGAGGCUGACCAUAGAGCCACACUGCUGCUCUCCCGGGAGCCUGCCAGCACUCAGGGUGUUAGCCCUCACCCUUCCCGAGAGCCCACAUACUACUGUGUGGCUCCGACAGGCACAUGUUAUGAAAGACAAUUCAAUUCCCCAGCUGCAGAUGGCCAUUUUCAGCCUCCUGGCCGAGCUGAAAGGCCUGGGCCCAGGCCAACAUCCUUGUCUCUACUCCUUUCUUAUACAAAUAUUCUUGUUUCCAAGGCUUUUCCUGAAGUUUUUCACUUUCCUUCAUCUACAGGAAAUAUCUCUGAACCUCAGUUUGAAAUCCAACCCCAGAGAAUUUACAGUGGAAACAUGACCCAGGCACAUAAAUCCAGGAAGAGAGAGAGAGAGAGAGAGAGAGAGAGAUCCCUGUUAGACUGACCCAGGAAGCUGAGGCAUAGGAAGGCUCUUUGUCCCAUGCCCUUUCCCAUCCUCCUUAGGAAGCUAGUGAAUGCUGGGAGAUGCCUGAGCACAGUCACCACUGUGGGCAUCCCAGCUCCCUUUCCUCUGCGCCCACCCCCCAUCCCAAUGUCCCUCACCUGGUAGGCAGCUUCUCUCAUGAACUGCUUGGCUGGCUGCUUCCAGAUAGCAGGCACUGUAAUGACCCAUCUGACAUCAGAGUUCUCAAAGUCCGACCCCGCCUGGUCACUCAGCUCCUAAUGUCAAGAAGAGUAAAUGUAACAGGUGGGGAGAUGCUGCUGGUCCCCUGGGACACACCUCCUGUGGCUUUGCUGAACAGUCAGGAUUUUAACAGCACUCCAGAGGAGUCUGUGCCUGGCCCCCCACACUGCGGCAGGGUGCUCCAGGCUCUCUCAUUUAUCUCAUCAUCCACGUCCUUUAGGGGACUGUCCUCAUUCCUAUAUCCCAAGCUCCCUGAAAACUGCUGCCUCUAUGGAUUUACCUGUCAUGAACAUUUCAUACAAAUGGAAUCACAUGAUGUGGCUUUUAUAUAUUGUUUCUUUUAUUUUACAAGAUGUGUUUAAAGUUUAUCCAUACUGUAACAUGUAUCAGUAUUUCACUCCUUUGUUGUGGCUGAAUGACAUUCCAAUGAACAGACGUACCACAUUUGGUUAUUCAUCAGUUGAUGGACAUUUGAGUUGUUCCCACUUUUUAGGUAUUAUGAAUAAUACUGCUAUGAACAUUCAUGGAA